GGAAGCAGAGACAUUUAGAAGGUCCCUGUACAACUCAUGCAAGUAUUUUAUUAACGACAAUUUUUAUUCAAAUGUAGCUUUUAAGACCUCGGCCUGCUUUACGGUGAUUUAAAGGGCAUCUGUGAUUUUACCCACCAAGUGUCUUCUGCUGUGUGAAGCGAAUGCUGCAUGGAGUUUACAAGUGCUUCUCUAUGACAUCUGGAUCUCGGAGCUCACAGGGAAAACCACCCUCACCCACCCUGCAGGAGGAGCACAAUGGCACAAUGGCACCCUCUGUUGCCCUGCGCGCUGCUCCCACGUGGAUGUAUGAACUCCUGAAAGUAUCCAUUCCCCAUCUCCAAAUCUCAUCUCUUCCCGCCGAGCUUCCUUGUUUGUUUGGAGUUAUCCUGUUAUUUCCAUUUGUAAUAAAACCCGUCUUGUUCUUUUUGUGCUGAGUGGAGAAACAUCGAGAGGAUUGUCACGCUCAUUUCAUGAACAGUUGGCCUCCUGUCCCCAUUUUGUCCUCCCUAAGUGGCAGCUCCUUGCAACAGUUGUAUUAACAACUGAGCUCAGCCCUGCAAAGUGGUGGGCAUUUCCAGCGUUAACUGGAAAGCAAUUAGUCUUGAUGAGAUUGGGCUGUCCAACUCUCAGACAAUUAAUUAAAUUACAGCUUGUCUUUCAUUUGGUUGAACAAAAACUUGAUUCAUUAAUUAAAAUACACUGUGAAUCUGAUUUUUUGCUCUGAUCCUCUGUGUGUUCGUAAGCAAACAACAAGUUCCUUUUAGGAACCAAAACAAAAUUCCUUCUGGAGCAUGACAAGUUUUCACUCCUAAUCACCUUGUAUCCAUGUGAACACACUUUAAUUGCUCAUUAACACAAAGUUAGCGGGCUGACACACAACUAGCUGCUUCUUUUGGACUUCUCUAACAGUAACUUUUUUGUGUGUGUCUCGUAAGGAGACCAGACGUUUCUCAGAAUCAAUCAACUUUUUCUGUGUUUUACUUCCAUGCCAUGCUGUAAAGGAUUGUACAGUUGCCUCGCUGUAAUGUUAUUAUUCAGGACUGAUUUUACUGUGAUGGCAUAAGAGGAAUUAGACAUGUCCAUUCUAUUGUUGUUGAUAUGACUGUGCCUAUUUUCCCCAUAUGCAGUCUGAAACAAUUAUCAGAAGCAGUACAUAGAACUCAUCACUUAGAAAUGAUUACUUAGAAGUCAUUAGAUGUUGUUAAUGUGAACAGAUUUUUGUAAAAGCCACGUUUUGUGCAGGACUGGUUAUUUUUAGAUAAAAAUAUUUAAACUGAAGAAGAGAUUUCAAUUUUUCAAAUUGUGAUGUACAGGAACUCAGUGAGAAUUAAAAAUCUGACAUAAGAUCCAGUAUAAAAAAAGUAUUUCAGUGCAUCUAUUUGACAAGCACAAAUGGUCUGUAAGUAUGUUGAAUUAUAACAAAAAAUGAGUUGGAAAUAUUUGGGAUACUCUGUCUGUUCAGUUUUAAGCAGCCUUACCUACUGUGCCAAUGACUUACAGUCAGGUUUGGAUUCUGUGUGCUCAUCAUCAGCUUUCAGGAUCCAUGCUACAUUUGCCUCCUUUGAUUCUGCAAAGAUUUUGUCAAGAAAUUGAACUGAAUUUUAUCCCAGGCCUCACAAAUACAACCAUGUUUGACAGUUGUGGGAAAGAAGGGGGUUCGAGCUGCAUCUAUUGUUUGUUCAGAAAUAUCUAAUUUCAUAAGUCAAAUUACUCGUAAUGAUUCCAUACUAAUUUGUUAUUUGAAUCCUUUGCAGGCCUACUUUCUCCCAGAUGAUGGGAGACAAGAGGAAUUGCCUAAGCUUUUGAUACUGUGUAGAUCUCUGCUGAAACACAUUCUGAUUGCUACUGAUCUAGACAUAUCUUUUUUCUUAUAAGCUUAAGCCCGCAAGCUUCAGAAUUUAGCAUAAAAGACCAGCUGUCACCUGAUUUUGUUGUUCUUUUUUUUAGAGAAACAAUUCAAUUUUAGGGGAAAAAAAGGCAACUCAAUGUUAAAAUGCCAAAGAAAAGCUUCUCUGAAAUGUAAACAAAACCAAAAUGACCAUACCUUAAAACAGCACAUUUCAACAGGAGUUGAAGUGUUCCUCCCUUCUGUUUUCUCAAACCGAAGUGCUGACAAAAUCAGUAUGUUUUCUGAAGUGUUUCAUUUUGAUCAGAUUUGCAUGUUUUGGUGAAAUAUGGAUCCAGUGAAGCGAUCCUGGCUGGCUGAAUGUGUUGUUUCUUUUGGUUUAUGGCAUCUGCGAGCCUAUCAAAACUGUCCCAGUCUUCCAUGAAUGGAGAAAUGAUUCCAGUUAAGUCAAAAAGAAAGAAAGAGAGAAAGAGAGAAAGAGAGAAAGAAAGAAA